AAAAAAAAAAAAAAAAAAAAAAAAAAAAAAAACAGCUUCAUCCAAAAAAGCUUCACCCGAAAAGCUUCACCUCCAAAGCUUCACCCACAAAGCUUCACCUCAAAAGCUUCACCCACAAAGCUUCACCCAAAAAAGCUUCACCCACAAAGCUUCACCCAAAAAAAGCUUCACCCGAAAAGCUUCACCUCCAAAGCUUCACCCAAAAAAGCUUCACCUACAAAGCUUCACCCAAAAAAAGCUUCACCCGAAAAGCUUCACCUCCAAAGCUUCACCCACAAAGCUUCACCUCAAAAGCUUCACCCACAAAGCUUCACCCAAAAAAGCUUCAACCCGAAAAGCUUCACCUCCAAAGCUUCACAAGGGCCAAAGCUUCACUUAAAAAAGCUUCACCUCCAAAGCUUCACCCACAAAGCUUCACCUAAAAAGCUUCACCCACAAAGCUUCACCCAAAAAAGCUUCACCCGAAAAGCUUCACCUCCAAAGCUUCACCCACAAAGCUUCACCUCAAAAGCUUCACCCACAAAGCUUCACCCAAAAAAGCUUCACCCGAAAAGCUUCACCUCCAAAGCUUCACAAGGGCCCAAAGCUUCACUUAAAAAAGCUUCACCUACAAAAGCUCACCUAAAAAAGCUUCACCUAGAAAGCUUCAUCUACAAAGCUUCACCAUCAAAGCUUCACCUAGAAAGCUUCAACACCAAAGCUUCACCUACAAAGCUUCAACACAAAACCUUGCUCCAAAUAAACAAAUUUUGUUCACAAAACAACCUAAACAUU
rnacentral:lncRNA from 1 species